rnacentral:lncRNA from 1 species
GAGAACACUCCUGUCCACGUCCACAUAAAAAAACUCCCGAAACCAUCAGCAGCCAGCAGCCAGAAAUCUCAUAAGCGCGGAAUGAAAGGGGACACCGUGAAUGUACGGCGGAGUGUCCGGGUGAAAACCAAGGUACCUUGGAUGCCCCCUGGAAAAUCAUCUGCCCGGCAUGUGGGAUGCAAGUGGGAGAAUCCACCUCAUUGCCUGGAGAUCACACCACCAUCUUCAGAAAAGCUGGUCUCGGUGAUGCGAUUGAGUGACCUUUCUACAGAAGACGACGAUUCUGGUCACUGUAAGAUGAACCGUUACGAUAAGAAGAUUGACAGUCUAAUGAACGCGGUCGGUUGUCUCAAAUCUGAGGCCACCUAUCCAGGGUCUGAAGCCCUUGCAGGAUGCCAGACAACUGUGGCGUUACCAAACCAUAGCUAGCAAGCCCACUGGGUCUCAGAUGCGAUCAGGGGUCUGUUCCUCAACUAAUGCCAG